rnacentral:rRNA from 1 species
AUCGGGCGAGCUUAAGAUAGNGUCCCUUCGGGGACGCAAAUGACAGGUGGUGCAUGGUUNGUCGUCAGCUCGUGUCGUGAGAUGUUGGGUUAAGUCCCGCAACGAGCGCAACCCUUGUCAUCUAGUUGCCAUGCAUUAAGUUGGGCACUCUAAUGAGACUGCCGGUGACAAACCGGAGGAAGGUGGGGAUGACGUCAAAUCAUCAUGCCCCUUAUGACCUGGGCUACACACGUGCUACAAUGGACGGUACAACGAGUCGCAAACCUCGCGAAAGUAAGCUAAUCUCUUAAAGCCGUUCUCAGUUCGGACUGUAGGCUGCAACUCGCCUACACGAAGUNGGAAUCGCUAGUAAUCGCGGAUCACAUGCCGCGGUGAAUACGUUCCCGGGUCUUGUACACACCG